UACGAAGGGGGCUAGCGUUGCUCGGAAUCACUGGGCGUAAAGGGUGCGUAGGCGGGUCUUUAAGUCAGGGGUGAAAUCCUGGAGCUCAACUCCAGAACUGCCUUUGAUACUGAAGAUCUUGAGUUCGGGAGAGGUGAGUGGAACUGCGAGUGUAGAGGUGAAAUUCGUAGAUAUUCGCAAGAACACCAGUGGCGAAGGCGGCUCACUGGUCCGGUACUGACGCUGAGGUGCGAAAGCGUGGGGAGCGAACAGG
rnacentral:rRNA from 1 species